rnacentral:rRNA from 1 species
UACGGGGGGGGCAAGCGUUGUUCGGAAUUACUGGGCGUAAAGGGCGCGUAGGCGGCCUGCUAAGUCGGACGUGAAAUCCCUCGGCUCAACCGGGGAACUGCGUCCGAUACUGGUGGGCUCGAAUCCGGGAGAGGGAUGUGGAAUUCCAGGUGUAGCGGUGAAAUGCGUAGAUAUGACAUAGAACACCAAUUGCGAAGGCAGCUGGCUACACAAAUAUUGACACUGAGGCACGAAAGCGUGGGGAUCAAACAGG